GACGAACGCUGGCGGCGUGCUUAAUACAUGCAAGUCAACUGAACUUGAAGUAGCAAUAUUUCAAGGGAGGUGGCGCACGGGUGAGUAACACGUAGGUAAUCUGCCUUUAGGUCUGACAUAAUUCCGCGAAAGCGGGACUAACUUCAGAUGAUGCAGCGGCUCGACAUCGAGACAGUUGUUAAAUCUUCGGAGCCUAAAGAUGAUCCUGCGUCUGAUUAGGUAGUUGGCGGAGUAAAGCCCACCAAGCCUGCGAUCAGUAGCUGGUCUGAGAGGAUGAUCAGCCACACUGGAACUGAGACACGGUCCAGACUCCUACGGGAGGCAGCAGUAAGGAAUAUUGCUCAAUGGCCGAAAGGCUGAAGCAGCAACGCCGCGUGGAGGAUGAAAUACUUUUGUAUGUAAACUCCUGUAAGAAGGGAAAAUAUUCCGAUUUAUCGGGAUUGAUUGUACCUUCAGAGUAAGCCCCGG
rnacentral:rRNA from 1 species